GUACUUUAAAAGUAAAAAAAAAAAAAUUAGAAUGAUUCAAAGACAAUUAGCAUGGCUCCUGUGCAAGGAUGGCACCCAGAUUCCUAAAAAAAUUCCAUAUUUUU
rnacentral:snRNA from 1 species